rnacentral:rRNA from 1 species
UACGUAGGGUGCGAGCGUUGUCCGGAAUUACUGGGCGUAAAGAGCUCGUAGGUGGUUUGUCGCGUUGUCCGUGAAAACUCACAACUCAAUUGUGGGCGUGCGGGCGAUACGGGCAGACUGGAGUACUGCAGGGGAGACUGGAAUUCCUGGUGUAGCGGUGGAAUGCGCAGAUAUCUGGAGGAACACCGGUGGCGAAGGCGGCAUCCUGGACCGGCAUUGACGCUGAGGCGCGAAAGCCAGGGGAGCAAACGGG